UGCGGUGUAGCUCAACUGGAUCAAAGAGCGCUCGACUUGUAAUCGAGACGAUGCGAGUUCAACUCUCGCCGCCGCAG
rnacentral:tRNA from 1 species